GAUGAACGCUAGCGGGAGGCCUAACACAUGCAAGUCGAACGGGAUUGGGAGCUUGCUCCCAUGAGAGUGGCGCACGGGUGAGUAACGCGUAUGCAACCUACCUUUAACUGAGGGAUAGCCCAUAGAAAUGUGGAUUAAUACCUCAUAGUUCUUUUGGCCCGCAUGGGUCGAUAGAUAAAGCUCCGGCGGUUAAAGAUGGGCAUGCGUGACAUUAGCUAGUUGGUAAGGUAAUGGCUUACCAAGGCUACGAUUGCUAGGGGUUCUAAGAGGAUGAUCCCCCACACUGGUACUGCGACACGGACCAGACUCCUACGGGAGGCAGCAGUGAGGAAUAUUGGUCAAUGGGCGCAAGCCUGAACCAGCCAUCCCGCGUGAAGGAUGAAGGCCCUAUGGGUCGUAAACUUCUUUUAUACACCAAGAAAAACUCCCACGUGUGGGAGCCCGACGGUAGUGUAUGGAUAAACAUCGGCUAACUCCGUGCCAGCCGCCGCCGUAACAC
rnacentral:rRNA from 1 species